rnacentral:piRNA from 1 species
UAGAACCACAUGAUGUUGUGAAUCAGU